GUCAGUAGUAGGUGUUUCUUCUACAUGAGAUAGGUAAAGUAUAAGUAAAUUCAUUCCAUAGAUAUUGUGAAGAAACUUGCAUUGUUGUGCUUGAUUUUUGGAAAAUUCCACUGGCACAGAGACAUGAAUAAAAAGCAGUAACCCUCCAGAAUGUGUGGGAAUUCUCUCAUUGCACACCGAGUAACCUCAUGGGCUCCAGUGAGAGUCCAGAACUUUACAAGCUCUGUUGUUGUUCUUAGGCAAGUCAUAUGUACCAAGUAUUCGAGUUUAUUACCUUUAGGUGAUCUGUGAAAUCUGGGUUAUUUGGACCCUUUUGUUGUUACAGAGCUGCCCUCAAGAACUGGCUGUAUGAAGGUUUUUAUUACAAUGUUGUUCAUGAACACUGAUUUACCCAUGGGUUAGUUUAUAACUCCCGGGUCACCCAUGAGUGCUCACACAUGCUCACAAACACAAAGCAGCUAUCAGUUUGGAACAUACUUUUCUGCUGUAGAAGCAUGCGUGCCUAUUUGUGAAAGUCUAGCAAAAAAAAAAUCUACAUUCAUACACCCUGUCCCAGCUUCUUUGCCUGCAUUACUUGAAGCAGAACGUACCUUCUGGUAACUUCAAAGGCAAGCUGCAGGAGGGUGCAAACCAGUGAAGUGGGUGGUUGACUGGUAGUGUAGAGGUCUGGAUUCUGUUCUCCAUUUUUCAGUUUGACCUUCUGCCUGACCCUGGGACCUCUCUUUGUCCAUCUUGUCUAUUCACAUUGAUGGCUUUCACUCACUGCCUGUUGCUGGAUGCAUACUCCAGUCUGGUGUGCAAGUUCCUGAUCAAGUGAUGCAGAGCACAAAGGCAACUCUUGUACACCCUUUUUCACCAGUUUCCACAUGCAUUUGACCACGUAUCUGCAUAAAACUGCCUUGAGGUAAGAACUGGCACCUGGAACGUACCUAUUUAUCUACUGACUGUCUCAAGCAGCAGAGAAUGUGCCUAUCUCAAUAUCCUUUCCAAAGAUCUGUUGCCACAGUUUUUCUCCCAUCAUAGCACUUCACAUCCAUAUUUUGUGGCUAUUGAAUAGUAGGCUAAUUGGAAGGGAAAUAACUGUUGUUGUUUAAAACUUUACCUCUGAAGAUUGUGCUUUCCUAUUUAGAGUUAAAACUUUUACUAUAAGUUGAAGCUUUAG
rnacentral:lncRNA from 1 species